UGGAUCCAUUUAAGUCUUGAAUUCUUCUUACCAUUUACACCCGGAGAUGAUAAGACAAAUAUUCCCAAAUGCAUUGAUGACUUCCAGAAUGGACCAAAAGCGUAAAAGGCCUGCAGUCAUUGGCUCAAGUCUUGUGAUGUGCUGCUUAUAACUGGACAGGCCUGGAAGUGGUUUAGUGCCUUCCACUCCUAUUUUAAGUCAGAAACAACAGUAAGCUGAGCUGCCCUGAAGACUGAGUUGCUUUUCCAAAAGGAUGCUCAACUUGCAGCUGAGGUUAUUAACAAGAAGUUGCAAGGCGUGAGUUGAGAAGGUUUUCAGGAAGAAAAGGGAUGACUGAACAGUUAGAUUGAACAGCUGAAUAGUUCCUUGCCAAAUGCAGCACAUCUCUCCAUUAGCUAUGAGUAGCUAGAUGAUACCAGAAUUCAGAUAACAUAGAGACGAGUGCAUGGAGAAGCCCAGGAGGAAAUGGCUAAUUCCAUCUGCAGAGAAAGAUGUGAUGAGUGUGCAAUAAGUGAAGCCAUCAGCAAUACACUGAAUGACGAGGGGUAUUCUGGGGCAAAUAUAGCCACUGAAGCUGUGGGACGUAAGUGUUAUGUUUUCUCAUAUGUAUGUGUUAGGUUUUCUCAUAGGUUUUCAGCGUGUAUUUUGUGUUCAAACCAGCAAAGUAAUACUCUUACCAAAAUUCUGAAAAUCCAGUCUACUAGCAUAUUUUUAUUCUGUGCAAUUUGUUUACACCAUACAUUUAACUAAAAGCAGGUAAUAACCAAAAAGUCUGCUGGUUUCACUUUUGUUUUGACUUCCUUCUGACUCGUUUCACUUU